AUGGAAGGUACUGAACUGGGUAUCUUCUGCGCAUUGGAACCCGAGCCAAAGAGGUGCAUUUCUUUGAGGUUCCUUUCCAUUCAGGUGGCCACUCCUCCACUUGAAGGGAUAGGGUUUGGUGCAUGCUCGGCCAGCUCACUCCAGCAGCAGGAUUACCUCUUUGUGGGCAAAAUGCAGCUCUCCUUUCUUUUUCUUUGCUUCUUAGCACCUCCAUUGUCCGUCCACGCAAGUGUUCAGCUGGAAGAAUCAGGAGGAGGAAUAUUGCAGCCAGGGCAAACCCUGAGGCUGACCUGCACUGUGACAGGGGAUUCUGUGAAGAACGUUUACUGGGACUGGGUCCGCCAGGCUCCUGGGAAAAGCCUGGAAUGGGUGGGCGAAAUCGACUGGAGUAGCAAUCGGUGGAGAACAUACUAUGCCCCGUCUCUCCAAAGCCAAGCCACCCUGACUGCCGACGCCUCCAAGAACCAGUAUUAUAUCGAGCUGAGGUCUCUCGCAGCUGCAGACACGGCCACCUAUUACUGUGCAAGAAGCACAGUGAGACAAAGCAAAGGAGAAGCUGUACAAAAACCUUCUGGCUCCUGGCUCCCUGCCCAUCAGAUAUUUCUGGCAACAGCGCACAGCUUAUUGCCAUUGCUUUGGGGCUAA